UUGAACGCUGGCGGCCUGCCUUACCCCUGCCCGUCGAACGGCAGCACGGGUGCUUGCACCUGGUGGCGAGUGGCGAACGGGUGAGUAAUACAUCGGAACAUGUCCUGUAGUGGGGGAUAGCCCGGCGAAAGCCGGAUUAAUACCGCAUACGAUCUACGGAUGAAAGCGGGGGACCUUCGGGCCUCGCGCUAUAGGGUUGGCCGAUGGCUGAUUAGCUAGUUGGUGGGGUAAAGGCCUACCAAGGCGACGAUCAGUAGCUGGUCUGAGAGGACGACCAGCCACACUGGGACUGAGACACGGCCCAGACUCCUACGGGAGGCAGCAGUGGGGAAUUUUGGGCAAUGGGCGAAAGCCUGAUCCAGCAAUGCCGCGUGUGUGAAGAAGGCCUUCGGGUUGUAAAGCACUUUUGUCCGGAAAGAAAUCCUUGGCCCUAAUACGGUCGGGGGAUGACGGUACCGGAAGAAUAAGCACCGGCUAACUACGUG
rnacentral:rRNA from 1 species